AGCUAACGCAUUAAGUGUACCGCCUGGGGAGUACGGUCGCAAGAUUAAAACUCAAAGGAAUAGACGGGGACCCGCACAAGCGGUGGAGCAUGUGGUUUAAUUCGAAGAUACGCGAAGAACCUUACCUGGGCUUGAUAUCCUAAGAACCUUUUAGAGAUAAGAGGGUGCUAGCUUGCUAGAACUUAGAGACAGGUGCUGCACGGCUGUCGUCAGCUCGUGUCGUGAGAUGUUGGGUUAAGUCCCGCAACGAGCGCAACCCACGUAUUUAGUUGCUAACGGUUCGGCCGAGCACUCUAAAUAGACUGCCUUCGUAAGGAGGAGGAAGGUGUGGACGACGUCAAGUCAUCAUGGCCCUUAUGCCCAGGGCGACACACGUGCUACAAUGGCAUAUACAAUGAGACGCAAUACCGCGAGGUGGAGCAAAUCUAUAAAAUAUGUCCCAGUUCGGAUUGUUCUCUGCAACUCGAGAGCAUGAAGCCGGAAUCGCUAGUAAUCGUAGAUCAGCCAUGCUACGGUGAAUACGUUCCCGGGUCUUGUACUCACCGCCCGUCACACCAUGGGAGUUGAUUUCACUCGAAGCCGGAAUACUAAACUAGUUACCGUCCACAGUGGAAUCAGCGACUGGGGUGAAGUCGUAACAAGGUAACCGUAGGAGAACCUGCGGUUGGAUCACCUCCUUU
rnacentral:rRNA from 1 species